GAAUCAUGCCCAAAAGAAAACCCCAAAAACCCAAGAAACCAAAAAUCCCCAUAGAAAUAACAGUGACCUACUACGGGCACUCAUAGCCGUUGUUAUGGGUAUUAGUUGGCCCACCCCAAAACCCUAAUUUUACCAACCAUUCACCUUGGGAAACAAUGCCCUACUACAGGCGGUCGUAGCAGAGCAUGCAGAGGGAUAUUUCAAAGUUUCAAAUCUUUUUCAAAUUCAAAUCUC
rnacentral:lncRNA from 1 species